UACGGAGGGUGCGAGCGUUAUCCGGAAUUACUGGGCUUAAAGGGUGCGUAGGCGGCUAUGUAAGUCAGGUGUGAAAGCUUGCGGCUCAACCGUAAAAUUGCUUUUGAUACUGCAUGGCUGGAAUCAGGAUGAGGUCAGUGGAAUGUGGCAUGUAGCAGUGAAAUGCAUAGAUAUGCCAUAGAACACCAAUUGCGAAGACAGCUCCCUAGACCUGUAUUGACACUCAUGCACGAAAUCUUCGAUAGCAAACAGC
rnacentral:rRNA from 1 species